rnacentral:tRNA from 1 species
GUUUAAUUAGUUUAAUUAUAAAAUUAUAAAUUGUGGAUUUAUAGAUGAGAUUCAUUAAACA